rnacentral:lncRNA from 1 species
AUCAGAGAACAAGCUAUACCCUUAGUUACAUUUGCAAUUGCUCUAGUCCCUUCCACUAGUCCCAACACUAUUCCACUGUAGUUCUCAGGUGAAAUCAGUAAGCUGCUUUCUCUGUUUUCUUUCUGCCCACCCUCCUUACAUGUUGUCUGAGUUUAGCAGUGGAAAAGUGCCAUGUUCACUGGCAGUCAGCUGAGGAUCAUGGCUGAGGAGGGAUGUCCCAGAUUGACCAAGGGCUUUUUAAUGAUGGUCCAGCUGAGGAAAUGAAGUGCUGGGAAUGGUGAGUCAGGAGCAAAUGAUCAGCAUUGACAGCUGGUGCUCAAAGGGAGUAGCCAAUGAUGGGGAGACAGACAAGAUCCCCCAAAGGAGCAGUAACUUUGAGACACAAGAACAAGGCCUCCUCAAGAACAAGCCUUUUAUGUUGGUCCUGGUGUCCUUUGUAGCAGCAAAAGCUAUACCUUAGUAAGAGAGUUUCUUAUGGCAAAUACUAAGCUAAAGCCUUCCAGGAAAUCAUGAAGGAGGCAGAGUUUCCUGCCGCUGGUCUGUUUCCCAGGCCUUUUCACUUUAGCACUGGCACUUUAUUUCCUCACUGCUCAGGGACCAAUUUUCUUCUACUUCCUAUUAAAACCCUGAAUGAUUUAUGAAAGUUAACAUCUUAGCUUUCUCUGUUAGGAAGGAGAAUUCUUAACUUCCGGCUAAUCAAUAAAAUCAGAAUGAGAUACAUACAAUUAUCAGUAUUUCCUCUUUUGAAACUGCUUCCAAAAACCAAAAAACAGCCUAGCCUGGUAUAGGGUGAUUAUAAUAUAAUUGAGUAAAAAAAGUGACAUCUUGGUGUGUUCUGUUUUUUUUCUGAGUUUCAUAAUUUUCUGAGGAGAGUACACUGAAUAAAAAUUGUUCUUUAAUAGAAAGGCAAGUUUGGAUUUGAUUUUUGAGAGUAGAUGUUACCUUUUUAAAAAGUACACUACUUUGAAUUAAUUUUUAAAUGAAUAUAACUGCUAUGAUUUUAAUAUAUAUUAAUAAAGUUUGGGAUGUGUGUGUGAUAGGUAUGAUUUUGCUGAGUGAAGUCUACAGUUCACAAAAUCACUAUUAAUGCUGAAAGCAAUUUAAAAUGUUUUCAGCAUUGGGCUGUUAGAAAUCCAUAUUACAUUAUUUUAACUAUAAAGAAUGUUGAUUCUUGGAAAAAAUUAUCAUGUUCUGGCUCUUCAUUUACUUUGAAUUCAAUUGUGGUAGGAAAAUGAUCCUUUCUUUGAAAAUAAUUUAACUUUUGUAAGCAUGCAUGCAUGGAUAACUCUAAAAUGAAUAGUGAACCUAAAAAGCUGAAACCUCUUCUGACAGCAGCUUGACUUAGUCUUAUUCUAGAAGGAGUUAAGUAAGAGAAAUAUCAGAAAUACGUGUUCUCUUUUAGGUAUAACACAGACUUGAGACAAAUAUUCUUGACUUGGGGCAUCUGAGAAACGAUUUUUAGUGUCUUUGCAUGUGAUUUACAUAUAACUCACAUGCCUACACAAAAUAUCACAAGCCAGCUGCCUCUGUAGGUUUCCUACUCAGAGAAAAGAAAGCAGACCAUUGUCAGAAUGAGGGAGGUGAGGAAUGAAGAGCAGCAGCUAUAUAUGGAUUCCACAGUUUGCUUAAGCCUGGUACUGAGACAAGGGCCUACGAGGAACUUGGCUCCCCCACCCCCACCAUGAUGGCUAGGACUCCAUCAGGUGCUCAGGCAAGGGGACCAUCUGGAAGAGCCAGAGUGGGCAACCAGGUGAUAUUUUGUUUUUGUUUUUUUCCUUUGAGAUGCUUAUGGAUUAGAACUCUGUGGUUUGGUUUGGUUUUUUUAAAUAAUACAUGCUUUUCAUUUUUCUGCUGUAAAAUAAAAAAUAAAUUUCUUUUUAACAAAAAUAUCACUCAUUUAUAUAGAAAAAUUAGAAAACACAGAUAAGCAAAAAAAAAAUAUAUAAAAUAUCAGUUUACAAACCUGUCUAGGAUAUUCUAAUUUUGAUUUUAAUUUGACAUAUAUUAUGUAUAUAUAAUCUUUUUUAAAAAGAGCAAUAUUCUAGACAUAGAGAUUUAACAACUGAUAUUUUUACUUAAUUAUAGGUAGCAUUGUUUGACAUUAUUGAAUAGACAUCUGUAGCAUCAUUCAUGACCACAUGAUAUUUUAUUAGAUGUAGCAUUAUGAAUUUACCUUCAAUUGUUGGAUAUUUUCAUUGAGAAAUAUGUUUCCCCAUUAUUAGCAAUACUAUGAUAAAUAUUCUUGUACAUGCAUCUGUUUAUAUUACCCAUUUAUUUCCCUGGUAUAAAAUUCUGGAAGUAGAAUUGUUGGCUAUACUGUUUAAGAUUUUUUAUUCAUAUAGACAAAUUUCCCUUCGGUAAAGUUAGUUUAAAUUCCAACCAGCUGAGUGGCUUCAAGUUCAUUUCUGUAUUCUCUCAAUAAAGCGAGAUAUUCUUAAAAUCUGAUUUUAAAAGAAAAUAAAAGGAAGAACUUGUGGAGAAGUAAUAUAUAAGACUAAAUGAAAGACAUUAGAACAAGGCAGUAGAAAUACUAUUCUUUUCCUCAGACAUAUCCAACUUUGGACAGAUUCCUCAGUUUUUCUUCUCUUUUGUUUACUUGUUUAUUUAAGUCACCUUAGGGACAUUUGCGAUAGAGACAGUUACCAAACCUAUUUCCUUUCCUCCUGUGCACACAGCUGGACUACAUUUCCCAGGAUCCCUUGAGGGGAAGUGAGAUGAUGAGUUCCAACCAACAGAAUAAGGGUGGAAAUGCUAUAUGAUGUUUCCAAGCCUGGUUCGUGAUGGUCUCUAGUGUUCUCUUUCUAUGUUUGUCUGAUGUGGAGGAAAGCUGCAAAGAACUCCAAAACCCUGGAAGAUGUUAGUCCCAGGAAGGAGGAGCCCAGGUCCCCUGAAUUGCCUUAUGGAAGGCCACUCAUCAAGUACCUAUAAAGAAUAGUCACAAAUGCAAUUAAUUCUAUUUUCUUAACCAGUGAGAUUCCAGAAAAGCUCUUCAAAAAUUCAGAUAUAGGAGUUCCUGUCGUGGCUCAGCAGUAACAAACCCAACUGGUAUCCAUGAGGACACGGGUUCGAUCCCUUGCCUCAUUCAGUGGGUUAAGGAUCUGGCAUUGCUGUGAGAUGUGGUGUAGGUUGCAGAUGUGGCUUGGAUCUGGUGUUGCUGUGGCUGUGGUGUGGGCCAGCAGCUACAGCUCUGAUUCAACCCCUAGCCUGGGAACUUCCAUAUGCUGUGAGUGCACCCCUAAAGAG